rnacentral:tRNA from 1 species
CAUCAAGAAGCUAUAUAGCGUUAACCUUUUAAGUUAAAGACUGAGAACAUAACACUCUCCUUGAUGA